UUUUCCUCAAAUCCAACGCCUGUGGUACCUCAACCCCCUCGUUUACCACAAUUAACAGUACGCUCUCACUCUCUCCCCUCUUUCUAUGGCAGAGUCUUUGCCUAUUUCCAUGACCAUUUUUGGCUAACAAUUCAACUAUUCUUCAGCCAUGGCAGAGUAUUGUCAUACCAUAUUCAGAUCUUUGUUGGCCUUCAGCCGUGACAAAGAUUUCUGUCGGUCUGUUUGUGUCGCUUGGGUGGUGAAGGAGGUUUGAAGCGGAGAUUCGAGUAGUCGUUGGCAAACGCCCCAGUUUACUGCCCACAAGAAGGUCAGUGAUAUUUUACUAUGUCCUUUCGAUUUCGCUAGCUCCUAAAAUAUGUUUCCGAUUUAGUAGUUAUUUUUGCUAGUUCAUCAGAUGUUUGUUUCUGGCUUGCUUCUUUGCUUUAGGUGGUAAUAAAAUGCAUUUUCUCUAUAUGUUCUUCCGUUAGUCCACCAUGACGUGUAUACAAAAUAAUUAAUAUGUAGUUUAGGACUCGUUUAUUAUUUGUGUCCGUAGCUAUCAUUUACCGGUAAAGACCAUGCUUCUAGGAGUAAUAUUAUUUAAAGAUCAUGUUUAGAUAUUUCAUUCUUGUUUCUGUUUUUGUAACAUUUUUUGGAAGACCAUGUCUUAUAAGAAUUAAUCAGUUGCUACUUAGUUUUUAAAAGACUUUGAGUUGUAGUAGAAAUCACGUCCUUUCGUUUUUUUUUAGUUUGCCAAAAGAGAUGUAUUAGGCUUUUGUCAUCAUCUAAAGAUAAUAUCAUUUGUUAACUUCAUGAUUUAGAACCAUGAUAAUAGGGGAAAGUUAGCGCUUUAAUGGUCCCAAAAUAUGACUAGUGAAUGUUCGACAAAAUGCUUUUAAGAAUGAAACUUUUUUUUGCUAGUCAAAGAUUAGUCAUGUUCCAUCAUAUUUGUACUUUUAUACCUAUCAUAUAUAGAUGAUGACCAUGAAAAUAUGCUAGCCAUUAAGAUUAUUGAUCUGAUGCAAGGAUUAAUUUUUUUAUUAUAACAACUAGUUCCCUUUGUUCAUAUAUUAGUAGCAAAUAUGAUUUUUGGACCUUUGGUUUUAGACGUUUUGCCCAUAUGAUUCUGAACACUUUGUUUGAGAUAGAUUUAGCUAAAAGUGAACUGUUAAGUAAAUAUCUAAUUCAUUUCGUGUCUUUCACAUUUAGACAGCAUGCCCAUAAGACUCUAAUGAAGAAUAAAUGAUGUGUUUAUAUCUAGCAUGUUAACCCAUAGGUUUUAAAAAAACUACUCUCAUGGUUAUGAAAAGGAAGUAGAAAUAUAUAUAUGGGGUUAGUAAGGGACAUAUGAGGUUCUUUUGCAGGUUCUUUUUGUAGUAAUGUAAAAUUUCUGCAAGUUAAGAACUGUGAAUUGAUGUGUUUCUUUAAUUUGGUGCGUUUUAAUUGUCCUUACAUAAGUAUAUGGCUUCUUUACUAAUCUUCUUAUUUCCCUUUCUUUACAUGUACACUUUGGAGCAAAUGGAGUCUUAAUUCGAGACUCCCGCAAACUCUCGCAGUGGGGUCUCAUAGAGACACCACCACAUGGAGUCAUUGCAUACCAUCUUCCUUAGCGAGAAAAACAAGCGAAACGCUUGGGGAUGCCUAUAGCGUCUUUAAUUUCUUUUCCUUAUCACUCGUGCUAUUUGAAAUUUACUUGUGUGAUUUAAGUUUAUCUCCAAUUUCUAGGAUCAUAUGUUAAAAUUCGUGUUAGCAUAGUAUGUUUACUCUUAUUGUCGAUUUGGUACUAUCUUAA